AGAUGUGAGGGGCAUCUGGCUGUGACAUCUGUCACCUCAUUGAUCACCAGGAUUGAUUCAGCUGAUCUGGCUAGCUAGGCAGGUGUUCCCUUCCUCCCUCACUGAUCCAAGUGCGUCCCUCCCUAUCAAUAGAGGAGGACUGUUCUUCAGUCAAGGGUAUAUGAGUAGCUGCGUUCCCCUGCUAGAACCUCCAAAUAAGCUCUCAAACUCUUGGCCUCAAAUGAUCCUCCUGCUUUUGCCUCCCAAAGUGCUGGGAUUAGAGGCAUGAGCCACCAUGCCCAGCCAACUCCUGGAAUUUUAACAGUU
rnacentral:snRNA from 1 species